GAUGAAGAACGUAGCGAAAUGCGAUAAGUAGUGUGAAUUGCAGAAUUCAGUGAAUCAUCGAAUCUUUGAACGCACAUUGCGGCCAUAGGUAUUCCUUUGACCAUGCCUGUUCGAGCGUCAUUUACACCCUCAAGCCUAGCUUGGUGUUGGGCGUCUGUCCCGCCGUUUUCGCGCGCGGACUCGCCUCAAAGUCAUUGGCGGCGGUCGUGCCGGCCCCCUCGCGCAGCACAUUUGCGCUUCUCGGAGGCCCGGCGGAUCCGCGCUCCAGCAAGACCUUUCACGACUUGACCUCGGAUCAGGUAGGGAUACCCGCUGAACUUAAGCAUAUCAAUAAGCGGAGGA
rnacentral:misc_RNA from 1 species